AAUCAACGCUGGCGGCGUGCCUCAGACAUGCAAGUCGAACGCGAAAGUCCCCUUCGGGGGACGAAGUAGAGUGGCGCACGGGUGAGUAACACGUAGGUAAUCUACCUUCGGAUGGGGAAGUAACAACCGGAAACGGUUGCUAAUACCGCAUAAUGCAGCGGCACCUAAUGGUGACAGUUGUUAAAGCGGGGGAUCGAAAGACCUCGCGUCUGAAGAGGAGCCUGCGGCGGAUUAGCUAGNGGUUAAGGUAAUGGCUUACCAAGGCGACGAUCCGUA
rnacentral:rRNA from 1 species